AGAGUUUGAUCCUGGCUCAGAACGAACGCUGGCGGCAUGCCUAACACAUGCAAGUCGAACGAAGGCUUCGGCCUUAGUGGCGCACGGGUGCGUAACGCGUGGGAAUCUGCCCUUGGGUUCGGAAUAACUCAGAGAAAUUUGAGCUAAUACCGGAUGAUGUCGAAAGACCAAAGAUUUAUCGCCCAAGGAUGAGCCCGCGUAAGAUUAGCUAGUUGGUGGGGUAAAGGCCUACCAAGGCGACGAUCUUUAGCUGGUCUGAGAGGAUGAUCAGCCACACUGGGACUGAGACACGGCCCAGACUCCUACGGGAGGCAGCAGUGGGGAAUAUUGGACAAUGGGCGAAAGCUUGAUCCAGCAAUGCCGCGUGAGUGAUGAAGGCCUUAGGGUUGUAAAGCUCUUUUACCAGGGAUGAUAAUGACAGUACCUGGAGAAUAAGCUCCGGCUAACUCCGUGCCAGCAGCCGCGGUAAUACGGAGGGAGCUAGCGUUGUUCGGAAUUACUGGGCGUAAAGCGUACGUAGGCGGUGACUCAAGUCAGAGGUGAAAGCCUGGAGC
rnacentral:rRNA from 1 species